GCAUCCCCGACAGCCGGCUGUGUUAUCAGCAUCCAGCCGGACAGCUGUGGACUGUAGAGUGAAUAAAAUACUAUAAACUCCCGGGACGGACGGAGAGUCUCCCCUGGUUUAUGUGUGAGAGCUCCGAGAAGCUGCCAGAGGAGCGGACAGGAGCGGGAAGGAGACUCCAGCUGCUCACCGCACCGUGGUGCUGCACGUGCCGCUGACUGCUGCUGGACUCACUGAACCAUGUCUUUUGCGGGGACACAUCUCUUUCCCGCUCAUGUGCCGAUCGUCCCACGUGAACCAACUUCCUGAUGAAACAACGAAUCAUAUCUUCACACAGACCAGACAGGUGUCUGUGAUGUGAACCCAUCUAUUUCCCACGCUUCUGUUCCUAUCCCCCAGGUGAACCGCACCUUCCAGACUAAUCAAUGUAUCAUCUUCACACAGACCCCAUAUAUAUAUAUAUAUAUAGCUUGAUGUUUGCCUUGCACUCCUUUUACUCUGAGCACAAUGAGGCGACUGAUCAAGCGGUUCUCUGUCGAAGAGGUUCUGGUCCAGGUUUUUGGACAUGAUGAACCAGAGACAGAGGAGGACGUCUCGGAAGUGGAAGGCAACACAGAUUUUGAUCCAGACUUUGAGGAGACUGACCAGUCAACAGAUGGAGAGGCACCUGAAGAACAAGCACCUGAGGAGACAUUCUGGUCCAAGAGUGGACACUUGCUCUGGUCUUCAUCCCCCCAGGACAGAGGAAGUAGAGCGAGAGUGGAAAACAUCAGCAUCACGCUGGGACGCUCAGAUCACAAUGUCCUGACUCCACAACUCCUGCUCUUCCUCACCAUGUGCAAACUGGCACUUUCUCAUGUACAUAUCGUGUGUAUAUUGUAUUUAUUAGUGUAUAUUUGGUAUAUUUUUUUGGGCUUUUGUGCCUUUAUUGGACAGGAUAGUGGAGAGAGACAGGAAAUGGGGAGGCAGAGAGAGGGGGAAUGACAUGCAGUAAAGGCCGCCCGAUGCGGGACUCGAACCGGGGCCAACUGCAGCGAGGACUGUAGCCUCUACACAUGGGGCGCCUGCUUAGACCACUACGCCACACGACGCCCCUAUUUGGUAUAUUUUUGUUGUAUAUUUCCACAUUUCCGAUGUUUAUUCUAUAGAUGUUUAUUUUCUGCUGUGGUAAAGGAAUUUCCCAAUUGUGGGAUAAAUAAAGUUAAUCUAAUCUAAUCUAAAGAUGACAACAGGGCUAACACGGUAUGGUAAAUCUCGUGUGGAUGACAUCAAGUCCAGCUUCCAACCUGGAGAGGAAUCGACCUGAUAGACCUCCAAUCCUACAUAGGUCUGUUGAUUUUAGCAGGAGUAUAUCGCUCAAACUAUGAGGCUACAAAAAGUCUGUGGGAUGCAGAAGGAUCUUUGGUUUUCCAUUUAUGUUUUCCAUUACAUGUUCAUUUUGUAAUACAUUUUCAGUGCCUAUUUGUAUUUUCACUGCAGUUAUUUUAUGUCUAAUUCUAUAAAUUCAUGUUAAACACUACUUUGAGACAUUGUUCACAGCUAAAGAAUGUUGAAUAAAAAUUUGGUGGUGAAAAAUGGUUUUUGUGCUAAUUUAAGAGCAGUUAAAACAGACCGGUCAAUUAAGUAAGGGGCGGGAGGUGAACACGACAGGAGGGUUAAAGGGAACUUUUAUUUUAAAGGCUAAGUACCAAAAUUUUGUGUUACUUCUUAAAUGUUAUUGGAGGCACCGCCAAGUUAUUUUAUAUCACAUUUAUCACAGGUAGCGCCAUCUCCAGACGAACUCAGGCCCCUCCCACUGUACUACAACACCCCUAUUAUUUGUCAGU